CGAGUCAGGGUUGUGAAGAUGUCCUGUUGAUUCCGGAUGUCUCUUAAAUGGUGGAUCCCAGCGUCUUCAGUUCGGUCCCUGGAAAAAGAAAAAAGAUCAUUCCCUCCAGUCCCCGUUGACCUCAUUCUUGUCAGGAUGAGUGAGGAAAAACAGUUACGGGCAAGGCAGUACCUCCGUUCAUGGAGAUCUGCUAAACAAGUGAUGAAUAGGAUAGCUGAAAGCACUGCCAGUGUUUGUGUCACAGAACACCAUGUGGCUGAUGCCAGCUU